UGACUCUGGUUUCUCUUCAUUACGCACAAGCCUUUCGCCUUUUACUAAGACUUCCGUGGAGAGGAACACUUACGAGUUCAACGUAUUUUUGGAGCGGCUUUGCUUCUUGCAGAGCC
rnacentral:snRNA from 1 species